CGUUCAGGGAAGCCGAUGGCCUAAUGUUUUGGUCUGAUUGGGGAGAGGAACCAAUGAUUGAACGUUCGAAUAUGGAUGGUCAUGACCGCGUUAUUAUAUCUUCAAAAAAACUUAUAUAUCCGAAUGGACUAGCCAUUGACUUCGAUAAAAGUAAACUAUAUUUCGUUGAUGGUGGAACGAAGACUUUGGAGUAUAUGAAUUUUAAUGGCAGCGAUCGUCGAGUAAUUAUAAAUGGCCUCAAACAUCCGUUUGGAUUAGACGUGAGUGAUGGACGUGUGUACUGGACCGAUUGGGAUACUAAAUCUGUAAUGAGUGCGGACAAACUGACCGGAAAAGAAAGCAGAGUAAUAAUCGCAAAUACCAGUGAUCUAAUGGACGUACGUGUUUUUCACCGCACUCGAAGGCGGGCAUUUAAUGCUUGUGACAAAGAAAAUGGUGGCUGUUCGCACUUGUGUCUACUGAAUCCGACAAGCUACACUUGUGCUUGCGCUGUUGGAGUACAGCUGAAGGAAGACAAGCGCACGUGUUCCGGAGGUCCUACUAAAUACAUAAUUUUCGCUCAUAGAAUUGAUAUACGGCAAAUUUCCUUGGACUUUGACCACUUGAUUGACGUGGUUCUGCCUC